UCAAACUUAAGAGUUUGAUCCUGGCUCAGAACGAACGUUGGCGGCACGCUUAAUACAUGCAAGUCGAACGAGAAGCUUGGUUCGCCAAGUGGAAAGUGGCAGACGGUUGAGUAACGCGUGGGAAUCUACCUAGAGGUUCGGAAUAACUAUUGGAAACGAUAGCUAAUACCGGAUACGCCCUUCGGGGGAAAGAUUUAUUGCCUUUAGAUGAGCCCGCGUCGGAUUAGCUUGUUGGUAAGGUAACGGCUUACCAAAGCAACGAUCCGUAGCUGGUCUGAGAGGAUGAUCAGCCAGAUUGGGACUGAGACACGGCCCAGACUCCUACGGGAGGCAGCAGUAGGGAAUAUUGCGCAAUGGGGGAAACCCUGACGCAGCGAUGCCGCGUGAGUGAAGAAGGCCUUAGGGUUGUAAAACUCUUUCAGUGGUGAAGAUAAUGACGGUAACCACAGAAGAAGCUCCGGCUAACUCCGUGCCAGCAGCCGCGGUAAUACGGAGGGGGCAAGCGUUGCUCGGAAUUACUGGGCGUAAAGCGAGCGUAGGCGGUUAAUCAAGUUGGUGGUGAAAGCCCAGAGCUUAACUCUGGAACUGCCAUCAAAACUGAUUGACUAGAGAUUGGUAGAGGAAAAUGGAAUUCCUAGUGUAGAGGUGAAAUUCGUAGAUAUU
rnacentral:rRNA from 1 species